GCUGGGCAUGGUGGCAUGUGCCUGUAAUUCCAGCUACUCAGAAGCUGAAACAGGAGAAUCAUUUGAACCCGGGAGGUGGAGUUUGCAGUGAGCCAAGAUCGUGCCACUGCACUCCAGCCUGGGCAACAGAAGGAGACUCUAUCAUUAAAAAAAAAAAAAAAAAAAAAAAAGAACAGCGGGUGAGGGGCUUAGGGUUUAAUCCUUUGUAGUUUCGGUUGCCCAGGCUGGAGUGCAAUGGCACGAUCUUGGCUCACUGCAAACUCCACCUCCCGGGUUCAAAUGAUUCUCCUGUUUC
rnacentral:SRP_RNA from 1 species